UGCAACCAUGACUGUACCAGGA
rnacentral:siRNA from 1 species